GCAAUCUUUAGGCUUUUAUUCUUGGGGGGGGUGGGAGGGGAUAGGAGGUAGACCGGUGAGUGAGCUCAAUCUGAUUUACAAUUCAGGCCUGUAUUGAUCAUCUAUUGGUAAAUAAACAAUGCCUUGGUCACUGUCACAGUCCCUAUAAGGUAAUGACUGGGAAUAUGGAACAAGAUUAUUGUGGCUAAUUCUGUUGCCAUUCAUCUUAGCUGUUGAUGAAGAUUGUGAGGAGGGAGACCAGAAGAUAAUGGACAACGAUACAGCAGAAGGGUCUGGUUACACUUGAGCUUAUUUCUUGGAAGAGUCUGAGAAGGCGGCCUGUCAGGCUCCUAACACUAAGGGCCAUGUAACCAGUGAAGCAGCCAUUAUAUAUGAUUUGGUCUAUACUUGUUGGAAAAAUUCCACAAGAGGAUCUCCUGGAAGCUAGCAGAAGUUUUUGGCUUGUACAUUGCCAGGCAGCCAUUGGAAUCGGAGCUGCAGUCAGAUUAAGGCCAGCCUGGCCUACAUUGAGAAACCUCAUUUUGGGAAAGUGAAAUACUUUGUCAAUUAACAUGCAGUUGGUUCAAUAAAGACUUUUGGAAAGUG
ensembl:lincRNA Snhg12 small nucleolar RNA host gene 12